rnacentral:rRNA from 1 species
UACGAAGGGGGCUAGCGUUGCUCGGAAUUACUGGGCGUAAAGCGCACGUAGGCGGAUUGUUAAGUCGGGGGUGAAAUCCUGGAGCUCAACUCCAGAACUGCCUUCGAUACUGGCGAUCUCGAGUUCGGGAGAGGUGAGUGGAACUGCGAGUGUAGAGGUGAAAUUCGUAGAUAUUCGCAAGAACACCAGUGGCGAAGGCGGCAUCCUGGACCAACACUGACGCUGAGGAGCGAAAGCCAGGGGAGCAAAGCGGGGAU